rnacentral:misc_RNA from 1 species
GAUGAAGAACGUAGCGAAAUGCGAUAAGUAAUGUGAAUUGCAGAAUUCAGCGAAUCAUCGAAUCUUUGAACGCACAUUGCGCCCGCCAGUAUUCUGGCGGGCAUGCCUGUCUGAGCGUCAUUUCAACCCUCAGCCCCCGCUCGCGGGGCGCUGGCGUUGGGGAUCGGCCGUCCUCGCGGCGGCCGGCCCCGAAACACAGUGGCGGUCUCUCGCGGACUCCCCUGCGUAGUAGCACUACCUCGCAGAAGGGACGAGCGGGCUGACCACGCCGUAAAACCCCCCACUUCUCCAGGUUGACCUCAGAUCAGGUAGGAAUACCCGCUGAACUUAAGCAUAUCAAUAAGCGGAGGA